AACAAUCGGCGAGCGCUCCUCCGGUGCUGCUGUUCGUCGUCUUGUUGGAGUCGUCUGUGAAUCGCCGAUUAGCGCAACGCCGUCAAAGUUGGGCUCAGGAACAGCGAGGUUCGACGCCGUGCUGUCGAAAAGCGCCGCGGUCUCUCCGGGGCUUGGCUAAAAAGGGCAGUCGGUCCUAUGUUCCUAAAAGCUAAGUUCUUGUUCUAUCCCUCUACAAUUGUAUUUCAAUUCAUGUUGUUGCCGAUGGAAAUUCUCAUGACUUGGUUCUAAGUACAAAGGCAGUAUAAAGAUAUCAAUGUAUGAAUAAAUCUAUUUCUGUUUAAUGCUAAUCAUGUACGCAUAUGUGAUUUGCUAUGUCCCUCUGUUUUACUCUCAUCCUAUGUUUCGAAUUUCUUUUAUAUGAAAUGAGGGAAGUGAAAUGCAUAUAUGAGGAUAGUGAACUGAAAAUACCUUGAGGAUAUGGUUGUGGUGUCUAUUUGCUGCUGUGUUGAAUGAAGCAGGAAUUAACUGAUACUUGAAAAUUUCUUUGGCAGAGAAUGAUGAAAACGUUUAAGUAUGGAAUGGGUAUGAGAUGAGGAUUAAUAGCUGCUGAAAUCUGAAACCACAUGAAGGUGUUCGGGUGUGAAAAUUUUGCAAAAAUGCUGCUGGAGCUGGAGUCAAAGAAGAAUAUUUCAAUAGGCGUGGAGCUGGAGUCAAAGAAAAAAUGUCAAUAGAUGGCUGAGCAUGCUUGAGCAUGCUUAAAGGAUAUCUGCAGAUUUU
rnacentral:lncRNA from 1 species